rnacentral:rRNA from 1 species
AUACGAGGGGUGCAAGCGUUGUUCGGAAUUACUGGGCGUAAAGGGAGCGUAGGCGGAGAUUCAAGCGGAUUGUACAAUCCCGGGGCCCAACCCCGGCUCUGCAGUCCGAACUGGAUCUCUUGGAUAGUUCAGGGGCAGGCGGAAUUCCUGGUGUAGCGGUGGAAUGCGUAGAGAUCAGGAAGAACACCGAUGGCGAAGGCAGCCUGCUGGGGACUUAUCGACGCUGAGGCUCGAAAGUGCGGGUAGCAGACAGGAUUAGAUACCCUGGUAGUCCGCACCGUAAACGAUGCAUACUGGGUGUCCGGGGGUUCCCCCGGGUACCGUAGCCAACGCGUUAAGUAUGCCGCCUGGGGAGUACGUACGCAAGUAUGAAACUCAAAUGAAUUGACGGGG